UGUUUUGAUGAAAUUAUGAAAAUAUAUAGAUUAUCGGACGCCUACAGCAAGAAUGCCGAGAUGAGUUAAUCAAUGGACAGCAUGCAUGAAUGCGUCGAAGCAAAAGCCAGGAAGAUAAUCCCUUCCAGAGAAAAAAAAAAGGAAUGUAGACAGAUGGUUAGAUAAGAUCACUCCCCAACAGGUUUCCCCGAAACAAGAGACUCUGUUCCGAUUCUACCGGACGCGAACCGCUAGCGCGCACCCAGAUCAAAUGACAAGCGCGCGCGGCGGGCGAUUGAACUACGGCUUGGGCUCCCCGGGCCCGGCGGCGUCCGUCUCCGCCAGCGCCGCCUUCAGCGCGACGAUCUCCUCCUUGGUCCUGGCGAUGUUCUUCUCCAGCUCGGCUUUCUCCGCCUGCUCCCUGGCGCGCGCCUCCUCCGUCAUCUCCACGGCCACGGCGGCUCGCCCGAAUCUCGGACGGUGGGAUGUCGACGACGACCCUCCGGCCGCUGCAGCGCUGCCUUGACCUCCUGACGCUGGAACCGCCGGGGAUGCUCCAUUCGAGGCCAACAUGGUUACGGGUUUAAUUAGCUAACAGAGCGAGUGAGUGUGUGCAGCGGCGGGAUGGAGGUGGUUGACUGGUUGUUUGCCUCUUGCCGCUCUGCGAUGGAUGUCUACAGACUACUGCCUUGUCCCGUAGUACCUCCCACGCUCCUCCAUUUAUAGGCGUUUCUUCCUGGGGUCCUUUGUUGUUGUUACCUGUCAUCGUUUCCUCUUUUUUUUUUUUGCGAGAUUACCAUUAGUUUUUAGAAUUCGAGUAACGAUAAGUAUUAGAUCAACAUGUAUUUAUCCACGGAUCAAUUAAAAAAAUGUGAUCUGUAAAAAAAUAAAAGGUCAACCGUGACAGUACUAAAUGGCACAUGAAUAUUUUCUGUUCCAUACUGUAUUUGGAAUUUUUGCGAGAUUGGCAUUAGCCUUUUCUUCCAUUGUGUGUCAAUCAAUUUUUGACAUGAAAACUCCAUGACACUUGAGAUGCAUAUUGUUUAUAUUGUCAAAUUGUUUUGGGAUUUUCUGAAAUACCGUACAUGAUGAACUCAGAUCACAUGGUAACGAACCUAAAUCAUUUAAUUAAGGUUCUUUGAAUCUAAAUCACUUAAUUAAGGUUCUUUGGAUCAUGGGGUUCAGAUAGGCGUAUGGAGGAUGGCAGCUUCGGUGUUACCUACAAAUGACCUUUGAAACAUUUGGUUGAGGUUGGCAAAGACAUAUUAAAUGCAUACUUAUGACCCAAAGGGUGUUGGCUGUCAACACGGCCAGAUUUGAUUUCAUAUUUGCACGAUUCAUAUUCUUUGGUUGUUUGUUGAUGGAUGUCUUGACAUCUUUAUGUCACAUCUAAAUCUUGUCGGUCAUCUUUAUAUGCGGUGUGAUCAUCUUUGUGUCUCGUCGUCCUUUGUUUUAGAUGUGAUGUCCUCUCAUAUUUAUGUCUUAUUUAUCUUCUCUUUUAUAUUUUUUUUCUUUAGUUGUGAUGUCUUGUCACUUUUUGUCUCUCUUUUCUCUUAACUUUCUUCUUUUAGAUGUGGUGUAAUGUCAAAGUGUGUCUUGUCUUUCUCAUAUCUCUUCAUCUUUUUGUUUUGUUAGCAUAGUCCACCUUUUCCUUUCGAUCUCUUAUCACACCUCUUAUCCUGUUGGCCGAGUCUAUAAUGUACCCAUGUCUGCAGAAACGAAUACAUUUCUAAAUCGAUGGUACAUGGUGUAUCCACUGGUAUGAUCGAUGUGGUACAGUGUGAGCAUUUGAGAAGGAAGAAACAUGCAUAACCUUAUGUUGAGUUAUGUGCUAAGAAUCUUAUCUUCACAUAAGAGCAAUCCCAAUGUACUGUAUACAUGUUCAGUCACAACUCCUCCGGUGUUUGAUUUGUAUCUUUGUGUUGUACCUGAACAAUCUCUCAUUUAAUACGUUUUGCAAGAGAAAAAUUACGGGUUUUCUUGAACUUGGCCCUAAGAGAUGUAUGCAGAUAAAGAUACCAUACUCUUCUCUUUCUUAGGGUGUUGCAUUAGACUGGUAUAGAUGACAUACUUAGGGUCCGUUUGGUUCUGCUUUGCUUUUGAGAAAGGCAGCUUUGCCAUUUUUGCUUUCGAAAAGCAGCUUUGCUAGCUUCCUUGUGCUUAGAAAAAGCAUAAGUUUGUUUGGUUCUACUUGCCUUUUCACUUUGCUUUCUCUUCGGCUUCCCCUACCACUCCGUUGCCGAUGCCCCCCUUCCCACCAACCCAGUUGCACCACGGACGCCAGCCUCCAUGGCCCGGGUUGGGUACGAAAAGGAGGACCACGGCCACCGCCGAUGCAAUGGCCACUUCACCGGCUCUGUCUCGGGCGACCUUUGAGCAGCGGCGAGGAACUCGACUCCUCGUGUGGAGGCACAGAGGAACACAAACAACGAUGUCCGUGUUCCUGCA
rnacentral:lncRNA from 1 species